UGGGAGAUAUUGCGCAAUGGGCGAAAGCCUGACGCAGCGACGCCGCGUGGGGAUGACGGCCUCGGGUUGUAAACCUCUUUCAGCAGGGACGAAGCGAGAGUGACGGUACCUGCAGAAGAAGCACCGGCCAACUACGUGCCAGCAGCCGCGGUAAUACGUAGGGUGCAAGCGUUGUCCGGAAUUAUUGGGCGUAAAGAGCUCGUAGGCGGUUUGUUGCGUCGGCUGUGAAAUCCCGAGGCUCAACCUCGGGUCUGCAGUCGAUACGAGCAAACUAGAGUGUUGCAGGGGAGACUGGAAUUCCUGGUGUAGCGGUGAAAUGCGCAGAUAUCAGGAGGAACACCGGUGGCGAAGGCGGAUCUCUGGGCCGAUACUGACGCUGAGGAGCGAAAGCGUGGGGAGCGAACA
rnacentral:rRNA from 1 species